rnacentral:rRNA from 1 species
GGGUUGUGAGGUUAAGCGACUAAGCGUACACGGUGGAUGCCCUGGCAGUCAGAGGCGAUGAAGGACGUGCUAAUCUGCGAUAAGCGUCGGUAAGGUGAUAUGAACCGUUAUAACCGGCGAUUUCCGAAUGGGGAAACCCAGUGUGAUUCGUCACACUAUCAUUAACUGAAUCCAUAGGUUAAUGAGGCGAACCGGGGGAACUGAAACAUCUAAGUACCCCGAGGAAAAGAAAUCAACCGAGAUUCCCCCAGUAGCGGCGAGCGAACGGGGAGCAGCCCAGAGCCUGAAUCAGUGUGUGUGUUAGUGGAAGCGUCUGGAAAGGCGCGCGAUACAGGGUGACAGCCCCGUACACAAAAAUGCACAUGCUGUGAGCUCGAUGAGUAGGGCGGGACACGUGGUAUCCUGUCUGAAUAUGGGGGGACCAUCCUCCAAGGCUAAAUACUCCUGACUGACCGAUAGUGAACCAGUACCGUGAGGGAAAGGCGAAAAGAACCCCGGCGAGGGGAGUGAAAAAGAACCUGAAACCGUGUACGUACAAGCAGUGGGAGCACGCUUAGGCGUGUGACUGCGUACCUUUUGUAUAAUGGGUCAGCGACUUAUAUUCUGUAGCAAGGUUAACCGAAUAGGGGAGCCGAAGGGAAACCGAGUCUUAACUGGGCGUUAAGUUGCAGGGUAUAGACCCGAAACCCGGUGAUCUAGCCAUGGGCAGGUUGAAGGUUGGGUAACACUAACUGGAGGACCGAACCGACUAAUGUUGAAAAAUUAGCGGAUGACUUGUGGCUGGGGGUGAAAGGCCAAUCAAACCGGGAGAUAGCUGGUUCUCCCCGAAAGCUAUUUAGGUAGCGCCUCGUGAAUUCAUCUCCGGGGGUAGAGCACUGUUUCGGCAAGGGGGUCAUCCCGACUUACCAACCCGAUGCAAACUACGAAUACCGGAGAAUGUUAUCACGGGAGACACACGGCGGGUGCUAACGUCCGUCGUGAAGAGGGAAACAACCCAGACCGCCAGCUAAGGUCCCAAAGUCAUGGUUAAGUGGGAAACGAUGUGGGAAGGCCCAGACAGCCAGGAUGUUGGCUUAGAAGCAGCCAUCAUUUAAAGAAAGCGUAAUAGCUCACUGGUCGAGUCGGCCUGCGCGGAAGAUGUAACGGGGCUAAACCAUGCACCGAAGCUGCGGCAGCGACGCUUAUGCGUUGUUGGGUAGGGGAGCGUUCUGUAAGCCUGUGAAGGUGUACUGUGAGGUAUGCUGGAGGUAUCAGAAGUGCGAAUGCUGACAUAAGUAACGAUAAAGCGGGUGAAAAGCCCGCUCGCCGGAAGACCAAGGGUUCCUGUCCAACGUUAAUCGGGGCAGGGUGAGUCGACCCCUAAGGCGAGGCCGAAAGGCGUAGUCGAUGGGAAACAGGUUAAUAUUCCUGUACUUGGUGUUACUGCGAAGGGGGGACGGAGAAGGCUAUGUUGGCCGGGCGACGGUUGUCCCGGUUUAAGCGUGUAGGCUGGUUUUCCAGGCAAAUCCGGAAAAUCAAGGCUGAGGCGUGAUGACGAGGCACUACGGUGCUGAAGCAACAAAUGCCCUGCUUCCAGGAAAAGCCUCUAAGCAUCAGGUAACAUCAAAUCGUACCCCAAACCGACACAGGUGGUCAGGUAGAGAAUACCAAGGCGCUUGAGAGAACUCGGGUGAAGGAACUAGGCAAAAUGGUGCCGUAACUUCGGGAGAAGGCACGCUGAUAUGUAGGUGAAGUCCCUCGCGGAUGGAGCUGAAAUCAGUCGAAGAUACCAGCUGGCUGCAACUGUUUAUUAAAAACACAGCACUGUGCAAACACGAAAGUGGACGUAUACGGUGUGACGCCUGCCCGGUGCCGGAAGGUUAAUUGAUGGGGUUAGCGCAAGCGAAGCUCUUGAUCGAAGCCCCGGUAAACGGCGGCCGUAACUAUAACGGUCCUAAGGUAGCGAAAUUCCUUGUCGGGUAAGUUCCGACCUGCACGAAUGGCGUAAUGAUGGCCAGGCUGUCUCCACCCGAGACUCAGUGAAAUUGAACUCGCUGUGAAGAUGCAGUGUACCCGCGGCAAGACGGAAAGACCCCGUGAACCUUUACUAUAGCUUGACACUGAACAUUGAGCCUUGAUGUGUAGGAUAGGUGGGAGGCUUUGAAGUGUGGACGCCAGUCUGCAUGGAGCCGACCUUGAAAUACCACCCUUUAAUGUUUGAUGUUCUAACGUGGACCCGUAAUCCGGGUUGCGGACAGUGUCUGGUGGGUAGUUUGACUGGGGCGGUCUCCUCCUAAAGAGUAACGGAGGAGCACGAAGGUUGGCUAAUCCUGGUCGGACAUCAGGAGGUUAGUGCAAUGGCAUAAGCCAGCUUGACUGCGAGCGUGACGGCGCGAGCAGGUGCGAAAGCAGGUCAUAGUGAUCCGGUGGUUCUGAAUGGAAGGGCCAUCGCUCAACGGAUAAAAGGUACUCCGGGGAUAACAGGCUGAUACCGCCCAAGAGUUCAUAUCGACGGCGGUGUUUGGCACCUCGAUGUCGGCUCAUCACAUCCUGGGGCUGAAGUAGGUCCCAAGGGUAUGGCUGUUCGCCAUUUAAAGUGGUACGCGAGCUGGGUUUAGAACGUCGUGAGACAGUUCGGUCCCUAUCUGCCGUGGGCGCUGGAGAAUUGAGGGGGGCUGCUCCUAGUACGAGAGGACCGGAGUGGACGCAUCACUGGUGUUCGGGUUGUCAUGCCAAUGGCACUGCCCGGUAGCUAAAUGCGGAAGAGAUAAGUGCUGAAAGCAUCUAAGCACGAAACUUGCCCCGAGAUGAGUUCUCCCUGAC